UUCUAUCCUCUCUCACUUCUCCUCUCUGUUCUCAGGACCAGCUGUGAUGAAGCAGCUGCCCUACAGCAGUACUGGGCCCUCUGCGUCCCUGAGCAGCUGAUUGUGCGCUGGCUGUACUCAGAACAGCGCUUUCAGCUCAGACACAUCCCAGAAUUGGCUCCUUUAUCUGAUCUCAGAUCUCUCCGCGUCGCUGUCUGUCCCUGAGCUAUCUGCCAGUGGCAUGUGUGGGAGCCAGGUGGUGGGUUGGAGUGAACAUUAACUGAGUCUCUACAGGCCGUGUCCAUUCAGGCUCUUUGUUCACUAGCGCUCUUUGAACACUAGCUAAUGCUCUGAUGGAGGAUUCAAAU